GCCAGACUCCUACGGGAGGCAGCAGUGGGGGAUAUUGCACAAUGGGGGAAACCCUGAUGCAGCAACGCCGCGUGAGUGAAGAAGUAUUUCGGUAUGUAAAGCUCUAUCAGCAGGGAAGAGAAUGACGGUACCUGACUAAGAAGCCCCGGCUAACUACGUGCCAGCAGCCGCGGUAAUACGUAGGGGGCGAGCGUUAUCCGGAUUUACUGGGUGUAAAGGGAGCGUAGACGGCUGGUCAAGUCUGAAGUGAAAGCCCGGGGCUUAACCCCGGAACGGCUUUGGAAACUGAGCAGCUAGAGUGCUGGAGAGGUAAGCGGAAUUCCUAGUGUAGCGGUGAAAUGCGUAGAUAUUAGGAGGAACACCAGUGGCGAAGGCGGCUUACUGGACAGUAACUGACGUUGAGGCUCGAAAGCGUGGGGAGCAAACAGGAUUAGAUACCCGAGUAC
rnacentral:rRNA from 1 species